rnacentral:misc_RNA from 1 species
CGUGAAAUGAGCCCUAUUCCUCCUUUCCAAUGGCCAAUUCACCACUUCACUUACUUACUACUUACUUACUUAAUACCGGCUUGAACAAGGAAAAUAGCACUAGAAAGAAAAGCAAAUAAAGAGAGUACAAGACAGAACUAAAUAGGUGUAGAGUUCGGAGUAGCGAAGAGGCUUUGAUGACGAAGCGAAGGUACGAAGUAGAUUUCUCAUGGCCCCCCCAAUGAAUAAUUUUUAUGCUAUACGAGCAUAAACAAUAACCAUUUAGAAUACCUGCAGGGAGAGGGAAUUCUAUUGUACUCUCCCGGAGGGAGAGGGAGAACUGGUUUGAAUAAUUUUCCACGUAGGGAAGCAUAAAAGGAAAGCGGUCCCUUACCUUGUGACAACAAUUUCCUUCCCGUAAUCGAACCCUCCACAGAAAGCAGCUCGCACUCGGUAAUAAGACUUGAACAUGAAUUCUUUCCCAUCGACUGGACUUUUCACAGAGACCAGGAACAAGGACCAGGACGAAUAGGGAACGGGAACUACUCUUUUCGUUUCGGGAUUUGAGUAGGUAAGGGCAGCGGGACCAGCAACAUGAACAAUCGGACCAAGCAGGCUAUUAAGCCAACUAACAAAGCCACAAGCUACAGGCAGGAGCUCCUUUCUUCAAUAAAGGUUUGGUAACCUCGUUUUGCCCUUUCUUUCACGGCUCGGCCCUCCUCGCCAGGAGGAAAUUCAUGGCCGUAGAUCAAGGC